rnacentral:rRNA from 1 species
AGAGUUUAGAGUCCUGGCUCAGAACGAACGCCUGCGGCAGGCUUAACACACUGCAAGUCGAACGCCCGCAAGGGAGUGGCAGACGGGUGAGUAACGCGUGGGAAUCUACCCUUUGGUACGGGAUAGCUCCGGGAAACUGGAAUUAAUACCGUAUGUGCCCUGAGGGGCAAAGAUUUAUCGCCAAAGGAUCGAGCCCGCGUUGGAUUAGCUAGUUGGUGGGGUAAAGGGCCUACCAAGGCGACGAUCCAUAGCUGGUCUAAGAGGAUGAUCAGCCACAUUGGGACUGAGACACGGCCCAAACUCCUACGGGAGGCAGCAGUGGGGAAUAUUAGACAAUGGGCGCAAGCCUGAUCCAGCCAUGCCGCGUGAGUGAUGAAGGUCUUAGGAUUGUAAAGCUCUUUCACCGGGGACGAUAAUGACGGUACCCGGAGAAGAAGCCCCGGCUAACUUCGUG